UUUUUAGAAACUAACUUUCGUAAAUUUUCGAAAUUAUAAUAAAGUCCAUCAAACGGGCAUAAAAUGAACGGUCAAAAUCGAACGACGUCCUAAAAAAGAAUGAUCGGAUCCUUCAAUUCAAGAUCGGAGUUAUUGAUCUUUAUCUAGAUAGUAAAUAGAAUUUUCUAUCAAAAAUUCAACAAAUUCCGAUUCUUUUACACCGUUAAACUAGAAAGUAUUCCAUACCGGCCAUUAAAAAUUGUCAAAUUUAUGACCUCUUGAUC
rnacentral:lncRNA from 1 species